UUGAUCUCCAUAAAAAACAACCAGUUAAAAAAAAAAAAGACAAAGCCACACUGAGACGCUCGAUAACUGUUUGACUCCAGCUCAUCAGUUUCUGCAACGAGUCUAAAGCUCAAAUGUUAACCUGCAGAUGCCAGGUCUCCAUGUUUCCACAGGCCUGGGAUGGAGAGGGAAGAGUUAAUAGUCCAUCAGGGAGCUGAGGUCUUUGAUUGUGAUCACAUUGAUAAUUUUCCUUCCAUUAAGAUGUUGAAGCCUUGUGGCUGUUCUAAGGAUGACAGUAACACUUUAGUAAAUAAUGGUCUCUCCUGGCAUAAAAAUGCUGUAUUGUGACGGUAAGAAAGGAAAAAGAGAGAGGAGCUUGGCCUCUUACCCCUAUCUGCAUGCGCAGUGCUGCUGUCCCUGGUGCUGAUAUUUUCAUAGGCACACACCGUGGACCAUGGCAGAAUUUCCAGGAACGCUAGAUGUAUUUGUACUAUUUUUAUGUCUACUGAUUGAAAACUGAACAAAGGAAGUAAAAUGCGAAAGAACGUAAUUGUGAGGAGAUACUGCUUCUGAAAAGGAAUCCAUCGAAAGAGUCAAUCAUCCAGGCUCAGCUAUUCGUUAAUCCUACUUGACAUCUGUUACAUCACUUUUCUCAGUUCAUUUAUUCAACACGUGUUUGUGGAGCACCUGUUUAGACAAUGCAGGGGGGACUGGCUGCGUGGGAAGUGGCAACAGAAAUGGAAACUGUGAUCCUUGCUCUGGAGGUCUUUGCUGCUCCAACUGUAGUCUGAAACCCAGCACAUCGAGAGUUUAAUGAAACUCCUCCGUGAUAUGGCUGCCUCAGCAUCAAUUUUGUGCGGCCAAGCGGCCUGCAGGGGCCUUCAACUGACCCUCAUGCAAGCAGAUGACCUGGAUAACAGCCCCCAGGGUCACAAGUAAAUCUCACCAUCCAACACCUUGGGGCUCACAUUGAACAAAGACAACACAGCAGCAGCAGCACUGGGAGCUUGUUAGAAAGGCAGGCUCUCAGACCCCACAUCAGACCUCCUGAGUCAGAAUCUACAGUUUAACAAGAUCUCCCAGUGAUCUGAAUGGCCAUUAAAGUCUGAGAGCCACCAUGGAAAUCACUACCGUCUAGUUAGCCAUACAGGGCAGUCAAAUGAGCUGUUCACCAUUUGAAGAGGCCAUCACAAUGCUCAGAAGAUGAUCAAAGAAGCUACUUAAGAAUAACAUGCUGCCUUUUUAAAAAACCAAUGCCCACGCUGAACUCAGAAUGGUAAUGAGCUCAGGCAGGAGCCCAACUGAGACCUCCACGGCCGUCCCACCCAGCUGGGAUAUUUGCAUUUUAUACAAACCAUUUUAUGAUGCUAUAAAUUUCACAUUUUUAUAGUUACAGGUCUUAAUCAUCAUGAAUACCAUUUCUGCACGUAUCUUUGGUAAACGGAAUUAAAAUCUCCUCAUGAUCUGAAAAUGCUAAAUUGUUAAUAGCUUUUCUAGGGCUCUGUGGCUUGUUUUGACCUCUGAUGAUUUCAUCAUUGUUUCUGCAUAUAAAAAUCACAAUUU
rnacentral:lncRNA from 1 species